AGAAUUCUUACUCCUCAAUCUCUGUGAAAGUCUCAAUGUUAUACGUUCAAAUCAACAUCUCUCCUCUGAAAAAGCAGAUCGGCAGGUGGGGAUUUUCUCACUUGUCUGUGAACCCCUCGUGGGUAGGUGCUGUCUAUGCAUCUCUAGCAAACAGAACCUAGUAAAGCAUCUGGAAUGAAUGAACCCAUCCAUCGAUCAGCAACUACUCGCCCCAUCUUGCAAAUCAAUCCACUUGAUUCUCACAAGAGCACUGUAAGAUGUAAAGGAUUGGUCAUGUACCACGUUUGCAGAUAUAUGGACAUGGAGGGCAAGGAAAUCAAGUGACUUCUCAAGUUCAUGAAGGUAAUUAAACAGCAAGGCAAGGACUUGACCCCAUGUCUUCCUGCUGCAGAUCCAGAGCACUUUUCUCUCUAUUCUAAGUACUUACAAGCAAGGAAAAUGAUACCAGGUCCUCUGUACUCUCCAGUGACUUUCCUUUCUUUCUCCCAGGGUUUUGGAGUCAAACUCAAUAGAGAUAUACACUGUAAAUUACAGUUCAAGAUUUUGGUCUGUGGCUAUUCGAUACAAUGUAGUACCAGGAUUUCACGUGUAAAACAGCAACUUUAACUUUUUUUCCUACCAAUUAUUUCCUCCAGUGUCUUUUGAAAUCUUUGCUUCCUCUCCACUUUCAGGAUACUCCAUGGAACAAGAAUGAAAGCAGAGAUGAGCGACAAGAAUCUGGGGACAUUUUUACAGAAUAUACCACUGAGAAUGUGGGAUUUUUUUCCCCUUAAAGAGCCACAGCAGCUUGGGAUGAAAGGGGAGCCUUCUAGGGGGCAUCAUUGUCCCAGAGCAAAUCAGCACCAGCUGUCCAACUGCACAGACAGAGCCUUUGACAGCGACACCUUGUGGUAAUGAGAAUUAAUAGCAGUAAAAGAGGAGACUUGCUCUCUUGGGUAUGGAGAUCAGACUGACUCCUCUUGAGACUGUGCAAACCUCCUCCAGAAUUCCUUGACAUGGUUGGGGGGAGGGGAGUAAAAAUUUCCAAGAGAGGCAUCUGUUUUCAGCUAAGUAAUCAUUUAGACAUUCGAGCAAUAAAUUAGAAAAACAAAAGAGGGAAGACCUAUGGAGGGGCAGAGAGAGAAGGUGGUAAUCUACAAACCCAGGAGAGAGGCCUCAGGAGAAACCAAACCUACCAGCACCUUAAUUCCGACUUCCAGCCUCCAGAACUGUGAGAAGAUAAUUUCUGUUGCUUAAGCCACCCAGUCUA